GCCCAGAAGUGGGGAAUAGCUCGGCGAAAGCCGGAUUAAUACCGCAUGUGGUCGUAAGACCAAAGCCGGGGCAACCUGGCGCUUUUGGAGGAGCUCGUGGCCUAUCAGCUAGUUGGUAAGGUAACGGCUUACCAAGGCAACGACGGGUAGCUGGUCUGAGAGGACGACCAGCCACACUGGAACUGAGAUACGGUCCAGACACCUACGGGUGGCAGCAGUCGAGAAUUUUUCUCAAUGGGGGAAACCCUGAAGGAGCGACGCCGCGUGGAGGAUGAAUGCUUUCGGGUUGUAAACUCCUGUCAUUUGGGAACAAGGCCUUACGUUAACUGCGUGGAGGAUUGAUAGUACCAGAAGAGGAAGAGACGGCUAACUCUGUGCCAGCAGCCGCGGUAAU
rnacentral:rRNA from 1 species